rnacentral:lncRNA from 1 species
GCUCCCUGUAGCCUGGCCCUGGCUUGAGUGCCCACAUAUCUGCUGCAUUUCAGCCAAGCAAGUCCCCCUGUCUGCCCGCCAUGCUGAGCGCCUGCCAUGCCUGCACACUGCCCACAGUUGGGGGUGGGGGUUCUAUAUGCCUCAGCUGACCUUGGAUGGUAAGAGCACCGAAGGGCAUGGAGACUUGAGGGUGCAGAGCUCAACCGCUGGGAUGGCUCUACCUCAGGGACGCUCGCUAGUUGAAACCCCACGGAACAGAGGGCACAUGCCUGACUCUGCACCCAGCUCAGGCUGUCCUCCCAUGUCGCCUGUUCUUUGAAUAUCUCACAGCCAAACGCCUGGUGAGGCCAUGGCUGUGCAGCGCCCUCCCCAGGGUUUCUGUGCAUGUGCCCUUCCUCCCCAGCUCAGCACCAUGCAGCCCUGGGUCCUGUGGGUGCAUUUCCCCUCAGUCCUCCCUGCAGGUGUGGGUUGCUGUCCCUCUGGGCAGCUGUCCUCACCCCACACUGCAAAGCACCCUGCAUGGACAGCCCCCACCACACCAUCCCGCCCGGAACCACCAGUGCACACGGCUCUGCCAGGGACAAGGGAGAAGUGAAGCAAAGAUGUGGAAAAGCUGGAAGUCGGAGAGCGCCCAUCACUGCUGGUGGCCGGCACUGUCUGUCCCCGCCACCCUUAGAAAUCCUGCUGCUGCCUUGAUGCCUCCCUGCUACGGACUCUUCUCGUGGGUUAUUUCCAUCAGAAUAUAGAAGCCCAAAGAAUCCAAAGUACUCCAGAAAGCGAGGACGGCAGGAACCACAGCUGACAUCGUGGAAUUCAGGCCGCAUGCCAGGCACUGUGCCACGCAAAACUCCCUUGUUGGGUGCUCACCACACUGCGGGGCAGGU